CUGGCUGUUUGUUUUCUUGGAGGGCCCUAAGGUGAGUAUAAAUAAUUCAAAAUGGCUUUUAUGAGCUCUCCAUCAGUCUCUGGGUGACAAAAUUAAAGGGAUCAAGCUAAGAUGGAAGAGGGAGAACUAUAAAAGCAUUUGAAGAAUAACAUAAAGUUUGAUUUUUGCAGAGCAUGUUUACGGAGUGCUCACAAUGCAGGACCACAAAAGGACUAAAAGCCUGUGUUCUCAGAGUGUGCAUUUGAGUCCCCAAGACAAUGUAGUCAGUAAAAGUCUUACCUCAAUUGCAUAGAAAGAAAUCAUCAGUUAACUGUUUUAAAACACCAAGGAAGAAAUUGACCUAUCUCAAGACAUCUCUGUGAUGAGGAGGAGCCAGGAGAGGGAACACACCUAAUUAUAGGUGUUCCUACUUGGAAUUACAAAGGUGCAAUUGAAAGGAGAAAGGAAGUUUCCUGAACAAAAGAAUGGCUCUCCCAAGAAGACAAGAAAAGGAGGGUAGGAAUACAAAAUGGUAAAGUCUUCAUUGAAGAUGCCACGGGAAGAAAGAAUUUCUGCCUCAGCAAAGGCGUUUUUUUCUUCUUUAUAAAACACACCAAGCAUGACCUAGACUCCACCAUCUGUAGAACCAGACUGAUCUCACCCCUUAUUAAGACCUGAAAGGGAAGCAAUCCACAUGCUUUAAUUAUCAUGACUGUGAAGGUGAAGAAGAGCCUUCCUUUGAAAUGGAGUUUUGUAUUCUUCCAUUAAUUGUACCAGGAAAUUGAAGAGACGCUUGAGUUUUAGAUUUGAUUAUCUCAACAUAAAUGUAUUUUUGCUUCAUUAGCAGUAAAAUAUAUAAGGAUGAUGAUAGACCAUUCUAAGUAUUAUUUCCUUAUUCCUGGUCUUAAUCUCUAUAUUUAAUAAGGAAGGGCCAGGUUCAAUAAAGGGUGCAUCUGGCUUCAAGUGAUUAAUCGAUUUUUAUAGAAUGCACAUGCUAGCAAUUCUUCGGGAAAUUAGACAAGACACCAUGAAUCACGAUUCCCUGCACACACUCUUCAGCCCUCCCUUCCAGCUUUGCUUUUACUAAUCAGCUUCAAUUGACUAUCUCGGGGCAUUUUUACAAAGGUGCAUCCUAUGUCUCUCACAUCCUGAAUUAAUGCCGUGAAUAAUUAGCUCCAGGGACUGAGGUCUCUUUCAUCUGCAUGCAAGCCAAC
rnacentral:lncRNA from 1 species